UUUAUUGAGAGUUUGAUCCUGGCUCAGGAUGAACGCUAGCGGCGUGGAUAAGGCAUGCAAGUCGAGGGAGGUGUAAAACCGACCGGCGAACGGGUUAGUAACACGUAGGUACGUACCCUGAAGUCUCGGAUAGCCCGGAGAAAUCCGGGGUAAUACGAGAUGGCCCUGCAAAGGUAAAGAUUUAUCGCUUCAGGAUCGGCCUGCGUCCUAUCAGCUAGUUGGCGAGGUAACGGCUCACCAAGGCUAUGACGGGUAGGGGGCAUGAGAGUGUGUUCCCCAACAAGGGCACUGCGACACGGGCCCUACUCCUACGGGAGGCAGCAGUCGAGAAUCUUCCACAAUGGGCGAAAGCCUGAUGGAGCGACGCCGCGUGCUUGAAGAAGCCCUUCGGGGUGUAAAGAGCUUUUCUGGGGGAACAACCUUUUGGUGAGUGUACCCCAGGAAUAAGGGGAGGCUAAUCACGUGCCAGCAGCUGCGGUAAUACGUGAUCCUCGAGCGUUAUCCGGAUUUACUGGGCGUAAAGAGUUCGUAGGUGCAUUGUUAGGUUUUCUGUCAAAGGUUGAGGCUUAACCUCAAAAACGCAGAAAAAACCGGCAAAGUAGAGGGCGUUAGAGGCUGAUAGAACGGUCAGUGUAGGGGUGAAAUCCGUUGAUAUUGACCGGAAUACCAAAAGCGAAGGCAUUCAGCUGGGGCGACCCUGACACUGAGGAACGAAAGCGUGGGUAGCGAACGAGAUUAGAUACCUCGGUAGUCCACGCUGUAAACGAUGGAUACUGGCUAUUUGAAGUGUCGACCCUUCAAGUGGCGAAGCUAACGCGUUAAGUAUCCCGCCUGGGAAGUACGGCCGCAAGGCUAAAACUCAAAGGAAUAGACGGGGCUUUACACAAGCGGUGGAUCAUGUGGCUUAAUUCGNNNNNNNNNNNNNNNGGCAGGUGCUGCAUGGUUGUCGUCAGCUCGUACUAUGAAGCGUACGCUUAAGUGCGGUAACGAGCGCAACCCUCGCCCUAUGUUUUAUAUGUCAUAGGGAACUGCCCGGGAUAACUGGGAGGAAGGCGAGGAUGACGCCAAAUCAGCAUGGCCCUUUGACGCCCUGGGCUGCACACGUGAUACAAUGGGACUGACAAUGGGCAAAGCCGCAAGGCGGAGAAAAAUCCCACCAAACGGUCCCCCAAUUCGGAUUGAGGUCUGAAACCCGACCUCAUGAAGCCGGAAUCGCUAGUAAUCGCCAAUCAGCCAUGUGGCGAUGAAUAUGUUCCUAAAGCUUGUACUCACCGCCUGUCACACCAGGAAAGCUGGCAGCGCCCGAAAUUCCUGCUAAGCAGGGCUUAAGGCGAAGUCAGUGAUAAGGGUGAAGUCAUAAACUUAGUUGUGACCUUAAAAGAGCAAUCUUUAAAGAAAAACUUGGCUAU
rfam:Candidatus Nealsonbacteria bacterium RIFOXYB1_FTLL_40_15 rifoxyb1_full_scaffold_764, whole genome shotgun sequence.